rnacentral:rRNA from 1 species
AUGAUGGGGUUCUCGGUCAUGUCACUGGCAUCGGUGGCGACCUUCGAGGCGGCCCUCAGGUUGGCUGCGCAGGUUGCCAAGCACCCUCAGCCAGAAUGCCUCGUCAGUGUUUGGAUGUCGCUAUCCGCGCAACUGCAACAGGUCCUCGGUUUUCUCUCGGCGAUGCAGACCCAGACACAGGGUAUGAACAUCCAAAUGUUGCUCGGUGGACGGUCGCUUCCCGACCUGGGGAAAGCUUGGAACCUUGCAGCUUCUCAGCCACCUUACAACAACAUUGCCGAUAUGCCAUACAAAGCCACCCGGUCUCCGAGGAUGGUGCUUCUCUACACAAUUCGCAUCUUCUACCUACGAGCCCUGGCAAGGCUGCCGCGUGCAGAGCUGCGCACUCGCUACCACCGCAGUAUGCUCAUGGCCGGUUACUGCUACGGCCCCUUGGACCCUGUCUCCAACAUCAUCCUCAACACGAUUUGGUACGAUGUCAUGUUCACAGCACCCCAGCCACCAGUGUUGGACAUGAUCGGCCCAAACAACCUUACCCGAUUGGAGAGCCGCUCCUUUUAUGGUCUUGCCUCUUUCCUCCAAACCCGCUACCAUGAUAUGCCGGAGCACCAACUGGUGCCAUGCCUAGUUGCCUCCUGUGCCCACCUGUCCGUGGCUGAUCCGAACUUUGAUGCGGAGUUUGCUUACCUGCCUUUUGCUGAUUCCAACAUUAGUGCUGCUGCAUCUGCUGGUGCCAAGAUGGAGGCGAUAUGCCAGCAACAAGAAUGCAGGACCAGCACACCAGGCAUCUAUGAUGUUGUCAGCAAGAUGGAGAAACAAAGACCGUGCUCAAGUGGCAAGGAAGCCUAUGAGGCUGCAGCCACCGCAGCAUGGCACCCCAAUCCUGAGGCUCAUGCAGAAUUUCUCAGUUCAGUCGACAUGAUGCUGAACGGACCUGCCUUCCUCCUACUGCAGAACAGUGACCAACUCACUUCCGAAAACGUGCAGUUCAUCGCCAGCUUGUUGUCUUCCAAUCAAAAACCUACGCCUGAACAAAUUAUAAAGAGGAACCGUGUUCCCGCAUUGGAGGCAAAGAUGCGUUCCGAGGCUCAAGAAAGAAGAAUCACCAAAAAGGUGAAAGCUGCAUUGGAUAAAUACUUGCUAUGA